rnacentral:rRNA from 1 species
CAGUCGCCACGGUAAUACGUAGGUGGCAAGCGUUGUCCGGAAUUAUUGGGCGUAAAGGGCUCGCAGGCGGUUUCUUAAGUCUGAUGUGAAAGCCCCCGGCUCAACCGGGGAGGGUCAUUGGAAACUGGGAAACUUGAGUGCAGAAGAGGAGAGUGGAAUUCCACGUGUAGCGGUGAAAUGCGUAGAGAUGUGGAGGAACACCAGUAGCGAAGGCGACUCUCUGGUCUGUAACUGACGCUGAGGAGCGAAAGCGUGGGGAGCGAACAGGAUUAGAUACCCCGGUAGUCCCUGUCUCUUAUAC